CAUCUACGGAGAGUUUGAUCCUGGCUCAGGACGAACGCUGGCGGCGUGC
rnacentral:rRNA from 1 species